rnacentral:snRNA from 1 species
GUGCUCACUUUGGCAGCACAUACACUAAAAUUGGAAUGAUAUAGAGAAGAUUAGCAUGGCCCCUGAGCAAGGAUAACACACAAUUUCAUGAAGCGUUCCAUAUUUUU